GACGAACGCUGGCGGCGUGCUUAACACAUGCAAGUCGAACGGUGAAAGCGGAGCUUGCUCCGCUGGAUCAGUGGCGAACGGGUGAGUAACACGUGGGCAACCUGCCCCUGACUUCGGGAUAACUCCUCGAAAGAGGUGCUAAUACCGGAUACGAAUCCUGCAGGCAUCGGCGGGAUUGGAAAGUUUUUCGGUCAGGGAUGGGCCCGCGGCCUAUCAGCUUGUUGGUGAGGUAGUGGCUCACCAAGGCGACGACGGGUAGCCGGCCUGAGAGGGCGACCGGCCACACUGGGACUGAGACACGGCCCAGACUCCUACGGGAGGCAGCAGUGGGGAAUAUUGCGCAAUGGGCGAAAGCCUGACGCAGCAACGCUACAUGCAGGAUGAAGGCUUUCGGGUUGUAAACUGCAAUAAAUAGGGAAAAAAUCUUGAUUGUACCUAUUGAUAGCACUGGCUAACUACGUGCCAGCAGCCGCCGUAA
rnacentral:rRNA from 1 species